rnacentral:rRNA from 1 species
UACGUAGGUAGCGAGCGUUAUCCGGAAUUAUUGGGCGUAAAGAGUCCGUAGGCGGCCCGGCAAGUCUGCUGUCAAAGAAUGGAGCUUAACUCCAAAAAGGCAGUGGAAACUGCAGAGCUAGAGUCUAGGAGGGGUAGAGGGAAUUCCCAGUGUAGCGGUGAAAUGCGUAGAGAUUUGGAAGAACACCGGUGGCGAAAGCGCUCUACUGGACUAUAACUGACGCUGAGGCACGAAAGCGUGGGGAGCAAAUAGG